rnacentral:rRNA from 1 species
GAAUUUUGGACAAUGGGCGAAAGCCUGAUCCCGCAACGCCGCGUGCAGGAUGAAGGCCUUCGGGUUGUAAACUGCUUUUGUACGGCACGAAAAGCCUUUGUUUAAUACCCUGGAGUCAUGCAGGUACCGUAAGAAUAAGCACGCGAUCAAUGCGUGCCAACCGCCGCGGUAAUACGUAGGGUGCAAGCGUUAAUCGGAAUUACUGGGCGUAAAGCGUGCGCAGGCGGUUUUGUAAGACAGAGGUGAAAUCCCCGGGCUCAACCUGGGAACUGCCUUUGUGACUGCAAGGCUAGAGUACGGCAGAGGGGGGUGGAAUUCCGCGUGUAGCAGUGAAAUGCGUAGAUAUGCGGAGGAACACCGAUGGCGAAGGCAACCCCCUGGGCCUGUACUGACGCUCAUGCACGAAAGCGUGGGGAGCAAACA